rnacentral:rRNA from 1 species
UAAUACGAAGGGUGCAAGCGUUGCUCGGAAUUAUUGGGCGUAAAGGGUAGGUAGGUGGUUACGUAUGUCUGGGGUGAAAUCCCUGAGCUUAACUCAGGAAGUGCCUUGGAAACGGCGUAACUAGAGUGCUAGAGAGGUUCGUGGAAUUCCCAGUGUAGCGGUGAAAUGCGUAGAGAUUGGGAGGAACACCAGAGGCGAAGGCGGCGAACUGGAUAGCAACUGACACUGAACUACGAAAGCGUGGGUAGCAAACAGGAUUAGAUACCCUGGUAGUCCACGCUGUAAACGAUGAGUACUAGGCUUCGUGGGAAUUGACCCCUGCGGAGCCGGAGCUAACGCAAUAAGUACUCCGCCUGGGAAGUACGGUCGCAAGACUAAAACUCAAAGGAAUUGACGGGAGCCCGCACAAGCGGUGGAUUAUGUGGUCUAAUUCGAUGCAACGCGAAGAACCUUACCUGGUCUUGACAUCUGUCGAAUCCUGCAGAAAUGCGGGAGUGCCUUCGGGAACGACAAGAC